AUAAUGGGUCAGCGACUUAUAUUCUGUAGCAAGGUUAACCGAAUAGGGGAGCCGAAGGGAAACCGAGUCUUAACUGGGCGUUAAGUUGCAGGGUAUAGACCCGAAACCCGGUGAUCUAGCCAUGGGCAGGUUGAAGGUUGGGUAACACUAACUGGAGGACCGAACCGACUAAUGUUGAAAAAUUAGCGGAUGACUUGUGGCUGGGGGUGAAAGGCCAAUCAAACCGGGAGAUAGCUGGUUCUCCCCGAAAGCUAUUUAGGUAGCGCCUCGUGAAUUCAUCUCCGGGGGUAGAGCACUGUUUCGGCAAGGGGGUCAUCCCGACUUACCAACCCGAUGCAAACUGCGAAUACCGGAGAAUGUUAUCACGGGAGACACACGGCGGGUGCUAACGUCCGUCGUGAAGAGGGAAACAACCCAGACCGCCAGCUAAGGUCCCAAAGUCAUGGUUAAGUGGGAAACGAUGUGGGAAGGCCCAGACAGCCAGGAUGUUGGCUUAGAAGCAGCCAUCAUUUAAAGAAAGCGUAAUAGCUCACUGGUCGAGUCGGCCUGCGCGGAAGAUGUAACGGGGCUAAACCAUGCACCGAAGCUGCGGCAGCGACGCUGAUGCGUUGUUGGGUAGGGGAGCGUUCUGUAAGCCUGCGAAGGUGUGCUGUGAGGCAUGCUGGAGGUAUCAGAAGUGCGAAUGCUGACAUAAGUAACGAUAAAGCGGGUGAAAAGCCCGCUCGCCGGAAGACCAAGGGUUCCUGUCCAACGUUAAUCGGGGCAGGGUGAGUCGACCCCUAAGGCGAGGCCGAAAGGCGUAGUCGAUGGGAAACAGGUUAAUAUUCCUGUACUUGGUGUUACUGCGAAGGGGGGACGGAGAAGGCUAUGUUGGCCGGGCGACGGUUGUCCCGGUUUAAGCGUGUAGGCUGGUUUUCCAGGCAAAUCCGGAAAAUCAAGGCUGAGGCGUGAUGACGAGGCACUACGGUGCUGAAGCAACAAAUGCCCUGCUUCCAGGAAAAGCCUCUAAGCAUCAGGUAACAUCAAAUCGUACCCCAAACCGACACAGGUGGUCAGGUAGAGAAUACCAAGGCGCUUGAGAGAACUCGGGUGAAGGAACUAGGCAAAAUGGUGCCGUAACUUCGGGAGAAGGCACGCUGAUAUGUAGGUGAAGCGACUUGCUCGUGGAGCUGAAAUCAGUCGAAGAUACCAGCUGGCUGCAACUGUUUAUUAAAAACACAGCACUGUGCAAACACGAAAGUGGACGUAUACGGUGUGACGCCUGCCCGGUGCCGGAAGGUUAAUUGAUGGGGUUAGCGCAAGCGAAGCUCUUGAUCGAAGCCCCGGUAAACGGCGGCCGUAACUAUAACGGUCCUAAGGUAGCGAAAUUCCUUGUCGGGUAAGUUCCGACCUGCACGAAUGGCGUAAUGAUGGCCAGGCUGUCUCCACCCGAGACUCAGUGAAAUUGAACUCGCUGUGAAGAUGCAGUGUACCCGCGGCAAGACGGAAAGACCCCGUGAACCUUUACUAUAGCUUGACACUGAACAUUGAGCCUUGAUGUGUAGGAUAGGUGGGAGGCUUUGAAGUGUGGACGCCAGUCUGCAUGGAGCCGACCUUGAAAUACCACCCUUUAAUGUUUGAUGUUCUAACGUGGACCCGUAAUCCGGGUUGCGGACAGUGUCUGGUGGGUAGUUUGACUGGGGCGGUCUCCUCCUAAAGAGUAACGGAGGAGCACGAAGGUUGGCUAAUCCUGGUCGGACAUCAGGAGGUUAGUGCAAUGGCAUAAGCCAGCUUGACUGCGAGCGUGACGGCGCGAGCAGGUGCGAAAGCAGGUCAUAGUGAUCCGGUGGUUCUG
rnacentral:rRNA from 1 species